GUUGCUCUUCCGUGCCAACGGCAACGGGAUUGGAGCAGUUGCUGCUUGCGGCGCACCAUUUGGUGGUCGACAUAGCCCAAUUUCUCCCUCGCUUCCUCUCAUCUCAUUACCAACGGUUUCAGGUGUUCAAAAUCGUGGCUUCAUUCGACCGUCUGCAGGAGCAAGAGGACAUGGAGAGACAGAAAGGUGACGAUGGGGAUGUGGCGCUGCCGGCCAACGCUUCCAGCAAGUGUGGCGACAUCGAUUCUCGUGACCUCGUGAGGACCCAUGCUGCAGCGGGGGCUGAGGAGACGGUGCCGGUUGGGGGUGACUUACGGGAGUCAGCUCGGAGCGAGGCCACCAUUUAUGACCUGUGUUUGGAACUGCUGAAGCUGGUGCUGAGCAUGAUGGACUGCUGGGAAAUGUUCCGCGCCAGACGGGUCUGUCAGAGUUGGCGGCUGGUCAUCGACGAGAUCGUCGACGACUGUCGGCGUGAGCGUGCCGUCCGGCUGUCGCGGGGUUUCGCCCCUGCGCCGGCCACCUCUCUCCAGCUGGUGGUGAUGGCCAGGGAGCUGCCCAAGCUGACCCAGCUGAAGGCGCCGACCGCCCAGACCAACACCGACCUCCGACUGGUCGCGGGAGCCUGCCACGCUCUGGAGAAAGCCAACCUGUGCGGCUUCAAACUGAGUGUCCCUGCCCUGCGCCGGCUGGCGCUCGCCAACGCCUCCAGUCUGCGUGAGCUGACGCUGCCGGCCGGCAUCAGCGACGAGCAGCUGGAGGCGCUGCUGGAGCCGCUGAAGGUUCUGGAGCUGCUCGAUCUGAGCCCACCCGUGGACAGCUCCGGCAAGUGGCUGCGGCUGCUGCCGCAGUCACUGAAAAGACUGCUCAUCACUGGUGAGAAAAGGAUCAGGAAUGACGAAGCCACCGUGCCUUCACUGGUUUGAGGAACUGAAUGUCUGUGUACGGCUGGCAACCGACGCACUCCUGGACCAGCUGACUGUUCUUUCGGGCCGGAAACGCAGCAGAGUUACCGACUUGAGCAUACAUGAGUCACCGUCCGUGACACCGGAAGCCCUGAGCCGUAUUCUGGCUGCCUUUCCCAAGUUAAGUACCGUUACUUUGGACGUAGCUGGCGCCACCUCAGACGUUGCACUAGAAGCCCUCCACGGCUACCGUCGGCUGUACGCGCUAACUCUCAGAGACCCCCGGCCCGUGACGGAUAUACCUGCCCUGACUCCGUCGGAGGUGGCAGCGGUCAGCAGGCUGGCAGCGACCUGUCGGAAAUUGUACAUCCUCUUCCUAACUUCAUCACCAGAAAACUGCCAGACCGUCCUGAGUGCCCUGCUUGAGACAGACUUGGGCCUGACUGACAGUGGACGUCGUCGCACCAUCUCUCUCAAGGUCCCUGAGCCUGUGUAUCGGGAGCUCCGUCUGCCGCCCCAUGGAAGUCAAAUCUCUGUGGGCUGCAUCUGAAACCUAUUAGUUCUUCCUAGGGCUCGCCUGCGCCGGUGCCAGCGGCGGUUGUGGGACCAGGCACCAGAUGGCAGCAGCUGGUCCAGUCGGCAGGGCCGCAGUGGCCUAGUAUUAAGGUCAACUGAGUGACGGUCGGGUCGGAAAGGUCAUGCUGCUUAUCAGUCUAUCAGUUUUGUUGCCAUUGUGCACUUUCAUUGCUCUUUUUAAGUCUGGUAUCGCCGAAGACUGUACGUUUUCAUGAGCUCGCUUUUUGUGAUACACGAUUCAAUGCUUUAUUAUCAAUAAAAUUAAAGCUGA
rnacentral:misc_RNA from 1 species